UCGAGAAUUUUUCACAAUGGGCGCAAGCCUGAUGGAGCGACGCCGCGUGGGGGAUGAAUGGCUUCGGCCCGUAAACCCCUGUCAUUUGCGAUCAACCGUUAUUAUUUAAAAGAUGAUGACCUGAUAGUAGCGAAAGAGGAAGGGACGGCUAACUCUGUGCCAGCAGCCGCGGUAAUACAGAGGUCCCAAGCGUUGUUCGGAUUCACUGGGCGUAAAGGGUGCGUAGGUGGCGAGGUAAGUCGGAUGUGAAAUCUCCAAGCUCAACUUGGAAAAUGCAUUGGAAACUACCUUGCUCGAGGUUUGGAGGGGGGACUGGAAUACUUGGUGUAGCAGUGAAAUGCGUAGAUAUUACACAGAACACCGAUUGCGUAGGCAGCUUACUAGAGGUUUACUGACGCUGAUGCACGAAAGCGUGGGGAUCAAACA
rnacentral:rRNA from 1 species